rnacentral:miRNA from 1 species
GUUCCCUCAAACACUUCAUU